AGAUACUCUGUAAUCAGAUGAAGACUUAACUUUAUUGCUACUCCCCUGCAGAAUGAUCUGCCUGAUGAUAAGGACAACAAGCAACCCGAUCAGAAAGCCCUCAUAACUGCAGUUUUUUAUACUUGAAAGGAAUAUUCAAACAUUACUGAACUUGAGUGAGAUGCAGAACAUUAUAUGUGCUGACAAGAGGGUGUAGAAAAGCUGUGCCCAAGGGCUUUGUUCACUCUCUACGCCAGGACCAUGCAGUGUGCCACUGAGAGCUUGAUCUGGCUUCUCUCCUCCUGGGGUU